GACGAACGCUGGCGGCGUGCUUAAUACAUGCAAGUCAACUUGACUUUAGAUAGCAAUAUCGAAAAGUAGGGUGGCGCACGGGUGCGUAACGCGUAGGUAAUCUGCCCUGAGGUCUGACAUAACCCGUCGAAAGGCGGGCUAACAUCAGAUGAUAUAUAAUCACGACAUCGUGGAAAUAUCAAAUCUUCGGAGCCUUGGGAUGAGCCUGCGUCUGAUUAGGUAGUUGGCGGAGUAAUAGCCCACCAAGCCUACGAUCAGUAGCUGGUCUGAGAGGAUGAUCAGCCACACUGGAACUGAGACACGGUCCAGACUCCUACGGGAGGCAGCAGUAAGGAAUAUUGCUCAAUGGGGGAAACCCUGAAGCAGCAACGCCGCGUGAAGGAUGAAAUACUUUUGUAUGUAAACUUCUGUAAGAUGGGAAAAAUAUUACUCCUCGGGAGAAUUGAUUGUACCAUCAGAGUAAGCCCCGG
rnacentral:rRNA from 1 species